rnacentral:lncRNA from 1 species
GAUUGAAUAUCUUUCUAUAUUUUGCAAUUUUCAUUCUGAUUAUAGCUUUUAUUCUACAUAUGUGUUUAUUUUAUUAUUAUUAUUAUUAUUUUCUCUUUCUUAGGACGUUUGCUAGAUUUUCACUGGAUUUGUUCAGACAUCCCACUGCUGUUAAUAAGAUUUACUUGAAGAUUUACUGCAGUCUGGAACCAUACGAUGUGCACCUCUCUGAUUCAGAAAUUGCCAUAAAAAUCAAGCAACUAGAAACUGCUGUCCAGAAGCUCAGCAGCUGUCAGCAGGAAUAGCUGCACUGAAGACAGAAAAAUAACACUGAUUUUUACCAAUAGAGGAUUAAAAUCAAACUUCCAGGGAGAAUACCCAUGCUGGUUGCCCUACAUUGAUGCAAUAUUUGUUGCCUCGACAAAGACUGCUCUAAGACCAGCCCAGAGAUUGUACAUUUCAUGUGUGACAGAAAUGGCUCUCCAGGGGUUCAUGAAAGCCAAAUGCUGAUUGCUGUUUCCAGCCCUUCUGAACCUCUGAGAUGGCAUUUGUCCCUGAGAAAAAAAAAAAAAAAAAAAAAAAAAUAUUCUCUGACAUGUUUGCUUUGAGAAGUGCUUUGUACAUUGGAAAGGAAGAGGGCAGGGGGUGGAAUGGGUCUGAAUGUUCUAAACUGUGAUUGAAUGUAAGGUCAUGAGGUUCAUUUGUCCCAACUGGAUGGUUGGCUUGCAAAAAGACACAGAGGAUAUUAAUUGAUAAUGGGUAUCACUGACUGGCUCUGUUUAUUCUUUAUAAAUAAAGUCAGUGAAGGAAAAGGACA